rnacentral:rRNA from 1 species
UACGAAGGGGGCUAGCGUUGUUCGGAAUUACUGGGCGUAAAGGGCUCGUAGGUGGCCAACUAAGUCAGACGUGAAAUCCCCAGGCUCAACUUGGGAACUGCGUCUGAUACUGGAUGGCUUGAAUCCGGGAGAGGGAUGCGGAAUUCCAGGUGUAGCGGUGAAAUGCGUAGAUAUCUGGAGGAACACCGGUGGCGAAGGCGGCAUCCUGGACCGGCAUUGACGCUGAGGCGCGAAAGCUAGGGGAGCAAACGGG